GACGAACGCUGGCGGCGUGCUUAACACAUGCCAGUCGAACGGAAAGGCCCUGCUUUUGUGUGGUGCUCGCGUGGCGAACGGGUGAGUAACACGUGAGUAACCUGCCCUUGACUUUGGGAUAACUUCAGGAAACUGGGGAUAAUACCGGCUAGGAGCUCCUGCUGCAUGGGGGGGGUUGGAAAGUUUCGGCGGUUGGGGAUGGACUCGGGGCUUACUAGCUUGUUGGUGGGGUAGUUGCUUACCAAGCCUUCGACGGGUAGCCGGCCUGGGAGGUUAACCGGGCACAUUGGGACUGCGAGACGGACCAGACGCCAACGGUAGGCAGUAGGGGGGAAUAUUGCACAAUGGGGGGAAGCCUGAUGCAGCGACGCCGGGUUCGGGAUGACGGCCUUCUGGUUGUAAACCGCUUUCGCCUGUGACGAAGCGUGAGUGACGGUAAUGGGUAAAGAAGCACCGGCUAACUACGUG
rnacentral:rRNA from 1 species